rnacentral:rRNA from 1 species
GUCGAACGGAAAUGACACGCUGAUGCGAUUUCGGUCAAAUCUUGUGGCAUUUCCGUGGCGGACGGGUGAGUAACGCGUGGGUAACCUGCCUUACACAGGGGGAUAACACCUGGAAACAGGUGCUAAUACCGCAUAAGCGCACAGGGCCGCAUGGCCCGGUGUGAAAAACUCCGGUGGUGUAAGAUGGACCCGCGUCUGAUUAGCUUGUUGGCGGGGUAGAGGCCCACCAAGGCGACGAUCAGUAGCCGGCCUGAGAGGGUGGACGGCCACAUUGGGACUGAGACACGGCCCAAACUCCUACGGGAGGCAGCAGUGGGGGAUAUUGGACAAUGGGGGAAACCCUGAUCCAGCGACGCCGCGUGAGUGAAGAAGUAUUUCGGUAUGUAAAGCUCUGUCAGCAGGGAAGAAAGAAAUGACGGUACCUGACCAAGAAGCCCCGGCUAACUACGUGCCAGCAGCCGCGGUAAUACGUAGGGGGCAAGCGUUAUCCGGAAUUACUGGGUGUAAAGGGAGCGUAGACGGUGAUGCAAGUCUGGAGUGAAAGGCGGGGGCCCAACCCCCGGACUGCUCUGGAAACUGUAUGACUUGAGUGCAGGAGAGGUAAGCGGAAUUCCUAGUGUAGCGGUGAAAUGCGUAGAUAUUAGGAGGAACACCAGUGGCGAAGGCGGCUUACUGGACUGUAACUGACGUUGAGGCUCGAAAGCGUGGGGAGCAAACAGGAUUAGAUACCCUGGUAGUCCACGCCGUAAACGAUGAUUACUAGGUGUCGGUGGGUAUGGACCCAUC